ACUCAAAUGAAUUGACGGGGGCCCGCACAAGCAGCGGAGCGUGUUGCUUAAUUCGAUGCUACGCGAAGAACCUUACCUGGGCUUGACAUGCAGGGAAAAGCCGUGGAGACACGGUGUCCGCAAGGGCCUUGCACAGGUGGUGCAUGGCUGUCGUCAGCUCGUGUCGUGAGAUGUUGGGUUAAGUCCCGCAACGAGCGCAACCCUUGUCCUAUGUUGCCAGCGGAUUAUGCCGGGGACUCGUAGGAGACUGCCGGGGUCAACUCGGAGGAAGGUGGGGACGAAGUCAAGUCAUCAUGCCCCUUAUGUCCAGGGCUGCAAACACGCUACAAUGGCCAGUACAAUGGGCUGCUAUCCCGUGAGGGUGAGCGAAUCCCACAAAGCUGGUCUCAGUUCGAAUUGGAGUCUGCAACUCGACUCCAUGAAGCUGGAGUUGCUAGUAAUCCCGGAUCAGCACGCCGGGGUGAAUACGUUCCCGGGCCUUGUACACACCGCCCGU
rnacentral:rRNA from 1 species